AUUGAACGCUGGCGGCAUGCCUUACACAUGCAAGUCGAACGGUAACAGGUCUUCGGAUGCUGACGAGUGGCGCACGGGUGAGUAAUACAUCGGAACGUGCCCGAUCGUGGGGGAUAACGAGGCGAAAGCUUUGCUAAUACCGCAUAAGAUCUACGGAUGAAAGCAGGGGACCGCAAGGCCUUGCGCGAACGGAGCGGCCGAUGGCAGAUUAGGUAGUUGGUGGGAUAAAAGCUUACCAAGCCGACGAUCUGUAGCUGGUCUGAGAGGACGACCAGCCACACUGGGACUGAGACACGGCCCAGACUCCUACGGGAGGCAGCAGUGGGGAAUUUUGGACAAUGGGCGAAAGCCUGAUCCAGCCAUGCCGCGUGCAGGAUGAAGGCCUUCGGGUUGUAAACUGCUUUUGUACGGAACGAAAAGACUCUGGUUAAUACCUGGGGUCCAUGACGGUACCGUAAGAAUAAGCACCGGCUAACUACGUG
rnacentral:rRNA from 1 species